UACAGAGGUGGCGAGCGUUAUUCGGAAUUAUUGGGCGUAAAGGGCGCGUAGGCGGCUUGACAAGUCCCGGGUGAAAUCCCUCGGCUCAACCGAGGACUGACUUGGAAACUGUCUGCUUGAGGCCGGGAGGAGGUAGUGGAAUUCCCAGUGUAGCGGUGAAAUGCGUAGAUACUGGGAGGAACGACCGGUGGCGAAGGCGGCUACCUGGACCGGUUCUGACGCUGAGGCGCGAAAGCGUGGGGAGCGAACAGG
rnacentral:rRNA from 1 species